rnacentral:lncRNA from 1 species
UGCCGGGGGCCCAGAAUCGGGCGGCAGACUUCCUCUCCCGACGGAAGCCUCCACCGGGGGAAUGGAGGCUUCACCCCAAGGUGGUGGAGUCAAUGUGGGGCCUCUUCGGCAGGGCAGAGGUGGACCUCUUUGCCUCGGAGGAGUCGGCGCAUUGCCCCCUCUGGUUCUCCUGCGCAGAAGCGUCCAGCCCUUUAGGGCAGGACGCGCUGGCGCACGAUUGGCCGGGCAGGCCUCUUUAUGCGUACCCACCAUUGCCUCUGGUUCUGCCGACACUCCAGAGGGUCCUUUUGCAGGGCCACCGGCUCCUUCUGGUGGCCCCCUUUUGGCCGGGGAGGCUCUGGUAUCCACUGCUGCUCAGGCUCUGCUGCAGCUCGCCAUGGCGCCUCCCCGACAGGAGGGAUCUCCUGUCCCAGCUGGGGGGUCAGAUCUGGCAUCCCGACCCCUCUCGCCUACAGCUCUGGGCUUGGCCACUGCAGGGCCCGACCCACUGCUGAGGGAGUGCACUGCGGCUGUCAGGGGUACGGUCAUGAGUGCCAGGGCACCGUCGACCAGGUUGCAGUACGGAAACAAGUGGAAGCUGUUCUCCAACUGGUGUGCGGCUAGGGCCGUGGAUCCAGUGCACUGCGCUGUGACCACGGUGCAGGAAUUUCUGCAGUCCUUCCUGGAUAGUGGCCGGUCGCACUCUACCUUGAGGGUCUAUGUCGCUGCCAUCUCCUCCCUACAUGAUAGGGUUGACAGCGCCACGGUAGGGUGCCACAGAUUAGUGUCCCUCUUUCUUAGAGGGGCUUUGAGGCUGCGUCCCCCUACAGCCAUGCAGUCUCCAGCAUGGGACCUGCCGCUGGUGCUGGAAGCCUUGUCAUCGCCUCCCUUCGAGCCUUUGGGUCAAGGGGGGUUGAAGUGGCUGUCCAUGAAGGCUGCCUUUUUACUCGCCAUAACAUCUGCCAAGCGGGUCGGGGAGUUGCAUGCCCUAUCAGUGAGUGAUACAUGCCAGAGGUGGAACUCUGAUGGCUCGGGUGUCACUCUAUGGCCGAAUGUU